UACGAGGGGGGCAAGCGUUGUUCGGAUUCAUUGGGCGUAAAGGGCGCGUAGGUGGCGGCUUAAGCGUGCGGUGAAAGCUCGGGGCUCAACCCCGAGUCGGCCGUGCGAACUGAGUCGCUUGAGCACUGUAGAGGCAGGCGGAAUUCCUGGUGUAGCGGUGAAAUGCGCAGAUAUCAGGAAGAACACCCGUGGCUAAGGCGGCUCUCUAGUACGGUACUGACGCUGAGGAGCGAAAGCAUGGGGAGCGAACAGG
rnacentral:rRNA from 1 species